UACGGGGGGGGCAAGCGUUGUUCGGAAUUACUGGGCGUAAAGGGCUCGUAGGCGGCCAACUAAGUCAGACGUGAAAUCCCUCGGCUUAACCGGGGAGCUGCGUCUGAUACUGGAUGGCUUGAGUGUGGGAGAGGGAUGCGGAAUUCCAGGUGUAGCGGUGAAAUGCGUAGAUAUCUGGAGGAACACCGGUGGCGAAGGCGGCAUCCUGGACCAUUACUGACGCUGAGUGAGCGAAAGCCAGGGGAGCAAACGGG
rnacentral:rRNA from 1 species